rnacentral:rRNA from 1 species
AGAGUUUGAUCAUGGCUCAGGAUUAACGCUAGCGGCAGGCCUAAUACAUGCAAGUCGAACGGGAUUCAAAGUAGCAAUAUUUUGAUGAGAGUGGCGCACGGGUGAGUAACACGUAUGCAAUUUACCUUUAACUGGGGGAUAGCCCUCCGAAAGGAGGAUUAAUACCGCAUAAUAUAUUGAAAUGGCAUCAUUUUAAUAUUAAACCUACGGGGGUUAAAGAUGAGCAUGCAUCCGAUUAGCUAGUUGGUGUGGUAACGGCUCACCAAGGCAACGAUCGGUAGGGGUCUGAGAGGAUGAUCCCCCACACUGGUACUGAGACACGGACCAGACUCCUACGGGAGGCAGCAGUAAGGAAUAUUGGACAAUGGAGGCAACUCUGAUCCAGCCCAUGCCGCGUGAAGGAUUAAGGCCCUAUGGGUUGUAAACUUCUUUAGACGGGACAAAACCCCUUUACGUGUAAAGGGUUGAUGGUACUGUCAGAAUAAGCAUCGGCUAACUUCGUG